rnacentral:rRNA from 1 species
AGCUCCAAUAGCGUAUAUUAAAGUUGUUGCGGUUAAAAAGCUCGUAGUUGAAGUUCUGCUGAGGACGACCGGUCCGCCCUCUGGGUGAGUAUCUGGCUCAGCCUUUGCAUCUUCUUGAAGAAUGUAACUGCACUUGACUGUGUGGUGCGGCAUUCAAGACUUUUACUUUGAGGAAAUUAGAGUGUUUAACGCAGGCAUGUGCCUUGAAUACAUUAGCAUGGCAUAAUGAGAUAGGACCUUUGUUCGAUUUUGUUGGUUUUUAGAAUUCUGGUAAUGAUAAAUAGGGAUAGUUGGGGGCAUUCGUAUUUAACUGUCAGAGGUGGAAUUCUUGGAUUGCGUUACGACAAACUACUGCGAAAGCAUUUGCCAAGGAUGUUUUCA